CGAUUGCGUCAGCUGGGACUCAAGCUUCAGUUCAGUCAUCCUCAUCAUCUUGAAAUCGAGAAGGCAAAGAAGCUGCUGAAAGAAUUUCACCUGAAGAUGGUGGAGAGGGCUAUGCAACAUACAUCUACAAUUUCAUCAUCUUCGGUUUCUUGCAGUGAUACUGAUAAGGUUUGUGAUUGAAUUUACCUACCAAAAAAAA